AUCCAGGUUUGGCCGGGUUAGGCCGUCAUUGUAAAUAAGAAUUUGUUCUUAACUGACUUGCCUAGUUAAAUAAAGGUUAAAUAAAUAAAAAACCUAAUCCUAACUUUUUAAAUGUAUUUUUAUGGUUAUAGUAACACUAUUUACCUGCUGUGUUCCUGUGUGUCUGUCUACUAGGUACCCAUAACGUUAGGUGAUGUGUGUCUGUCUACUAGGUGCCCAUAACGUUAGGUGAUGUGUGUCUGUCUACUAGGUGCCCAUAACGUUAGGUGAUGUGUGUUCCUGUGUGUCUGUCUACUAGGUACCCAUAACGUUAGGUGAUGUGUGUUCCUGUGUGUCUGUCUACUAGGUGCCCAUAACGUUAGGUGAUGUGUGUUCCUGUGUGUCUGUCUACUAGGUACCCAUAACGUUAGGUGAUGUGUGUUCCUGUGUGUCUGUCUACUAGGUACCCAUAACGUUAGGUGAUGUGUGUUCCUGUGUGUCUGUCUACUAGGUACCCAUAACGUUAGGUGAUGUGUGUUCCUGUGUGUCUGUCUACUAGGUACCCAUAACGUUAGGUGAUGUGUGUUCCUGUGUGUCUGUCUACUAGGUACCCAUAACGUUAGGUGAUGUGUGUCUGUCUACUAGGUGCCCAUAACGUUAGGUGAUGUGUGUCUGUCUACUAGGUGCCCAUAACGUUAGGUGAUGUGUGUUCCUGUGUGUCUGUCUACUAGGUACCCAUAACGUUAGGUGAUGUGUGUCUGUCUACUAGGUGCCCAUAACGUUAGGUGAUGUGUGUCUGUCUACUAGGUGCCCAUAUCGUUCGGUGAUGUGUGUCUGUCUACUAGGUGCCCAUAACGUUAGGUGAUGUGUGUUCCUGUGUGUCUGUCUACUAGGUACCCAUAACGUUAGGUGAUGUGUGUCUGUCUACUAGGUGCCCAUAACGUUAGGUGAUGUGUGUCUGUCUACUAGGUGCCCAUAACGUUAGGUGAUG